GAUGAACGCUGACAGAAUGCUUAACACAUGCAAGUCGAUGGGGAAGUGGUGCUUGCACCAUGGCAACCCUGGCGGACGGGUGAGUAACGCGUAAGGGACUUACCUGCAGGACUGGGAUAACAGGGGGAAACUCCUGACAAGACCGGAUAAUGUCAUGGAGCUGCAUGGCUUUAUGAUGAAAGGAGACGCCUGCGGAGAGCCUUGCGUCCUAUUAGCUAGUUGGUGAGGUAAUGGCUCACCAAGGCGAAGAUAGGUAGCCGGCCUGAGAGGGUGGACGGCCACAAGGGGACUGAGAUACGGCCCUUACUCUGAGGGGGGGCAGAAGGGGGGAAUAUUGGACAAAGGGGGCACCCCUAAACCAGCAUUUCUGUUGGAAAGAAGAGGGUUUUCGGAUGAAAAAGUGCUUUCCGCAGGGAAAAAGUAAGGGGCGGUACCUGCAAAAGAAGCGACGGCUAAAAACGU
rnacentral:rRNA from 1 species